UUCCUACGGGUGGCUGCAGUGGGGAAUUUUGGACAAUGGGCGCAAGCCUGAUCCAGCCAUGCCGCGUGAGUGAAGAAGGCCUUCGGGUUGUAAAGCUCUUUCAGACGGAAAGUAAUCGGUGCGUUUAAUACAUGCACUGGAUGACGGUACCGUAAGAAGAAGCACCGGCUAACUACGUGCCAGCAGCCGCGGUAAUACGUAGGGUGCGAGCGUUAAUCGGAAUUACUGGGCGUAAAGCGUGCGCAGGCGGUUAUGUAAGACAGAUGUGAAAGCCCCGGGCUCAACCUGGGAACUGCGUUUGUGACUGCAUAACUAGAGUACGGCAGAGGGAGGUGGAAUUCCACGUGUAGCAGUGAAAUGCGUAGAGAUGUGGAGGAACACCGAUGGCGAAGGCAGCCUCCUGGGCCAGUACUGACGCUCAUGCACGAAAGCGUGGGGAGCAAACAGGAUUAGAUACCCGAGUAGUCCGU
rnacentral:rRNA from 1 species